UGCCAGCAGCCGCGGUAAGACGGAGGGUGCAAGCGUUGUUCGGAAUCAUUGGGCGUAAAGGGCGCGUAGGCGGCUUGGUAAGUCGGAUGUGAAAGCCCGGGGCUCAACCCCGGAAGUGCAUCCGAAACUACCAAACUUGAGUCCUGGAGAGGGUGGUGGAAUUCCCAGUGUAGAGGUGAAAUUCGUAGAUAUUGGGAGGAACACCGGUGGCGAAGGCGACCACCUGGACAGUGACUGACGCUGAGGCGCGAAAGCGUGGGGAGCAAACAGGAUUAGAUA
rnacentral:rRNA from 1 species